rnacentral:rRNA from 1 species
GAUGAACGCUAGCGGGAGGCCUAACACAUGCAAGCCGAGCGGUAUAGAAUCUUCGGAUUUUAGAGAGCGGCGUACGGUGCGGAACACGUGUGCAACCUACCUUUAUCUGGAGGAUAGCCUUUCGAAGGAAGAUUAAUACUCCAUAAUAUAUUGAUUGGCAUCAAUUAAUAUUGAAAGCUCUGGCGGAUAGAGAUGGGCACGCGCAAGAUUAGUUAGUUGGUGAGGUAACGGACUCACCAAGACGAUGAUCUUUAGGGGGCCUGAGAGGGUGAUCCCCACACUGGUACUGAGACACGGACCAGACUCUACGGGAGGCAGCAGUGAGGAAUAUUGGACAAUGGGUGCAAGCCUGAUCCAGCCAUCCCGCGUGAAGGACGACUGCCCUAUGGGUUGUAAACUUCUUUGUAUUAGGGAUAAACUUCUCCUCGUGAGGAGAGCUGAAGGUACUAUACG